CCUGUGAACGAUAGCCUGCAGAUAACGACCUAGCCAAAAUUCCAACUGGAGCUCAUUUAAAGAGGUUUCCAGAGAGUCACCAUGGCAGUCACACUGUUAACCCAACCUUGAAGAGCAAACAACAGCACCAGCAACAGCCUGGUUAUGACUCUGUAAACAUUACCUCAUCCAUUUCAGAGAAAUUUUAACUCUCUUCCCCACUCCGGACAGUGACUUACAAACUGCCCACUCCAGUGUCAACUGUUUAGAGAACAACAACUUUAAACAUUACAAAAACCAACUUUAAAAAUUCCAGAGUAAUAAAAAUGCACGUAACCACAGUCUGGUGACACGCUGAUUAGGCACUUUUUGAGUCAAAGACAAAACUAAAUAAAUGUUUCUUACUGUA